GGGGGCCCGCAAGCGGUGGAGCAUGUGGUUUAAUUCGAAGCAACGCGAAGAACCUUACCAGGUCUUGACAUCCCGCUGACCGCCUUGGAGACAAGGCUUUCCCUUCGGGGACAGCGGUGACAGGUGGUGCAUGGUUGUCGUCAGCUCGUGUCGUGAGAUGUUGGGUUAAGUCCCGCAACGAGCGCAACCCUUGAUCUUAGUUGCCAGCAUUCAGUUGGGCACUCUAAGGUGACUGCCGGUGACAAACCGGAGGAAGGUGGGGAUGACGUCAAAUCAUCAUGCCCCUUAUGACCUGGGCUACACACGUGCUACAAUGGACGGUACAAAGGGUUGCCAACCCGCGAGGGGGAGCCAAUCCCAGAAAACCGUUCUCAGUUCGGAUUGCAGGCUGCAACUCGCCUGCAUGAAGCCGGAAUCGCUAGUAAUCGUGGAUCAGCAUGCCACGGUGAAUACGUUCCCGGGCCUUGUACACACC
rnacentral:rRNA from 1 species